rnacentral:ncRNA from 2 species
CCACAACUCUCGGGGAGCCUUGUCCCAUGACAUGGCUGAGACGCGCAAGCGGACCCGUUGAACCUGAUCCGGUUAAUACCAGCGUAGGGAAGAGUCAGUCCGUGAAA